rnacentral:rRNA from 1 species
UACGAAGGGGGCGAGCGUUGUUCGGAAUUACUGGGCGUAAAGGGCGUGUAGGCGGUUUGUUAAGUCGGGCGUGAAAGCCCAGGGCUCAACCCUGGAACUGCGCCCGAGACUGGCAAGCUUGAGUUCGGAAGAGGUGCGUGGAAUUCCCAGUGGAGAGGUGAAAUUCGUAGAGAUUGGGAAGAACACCAGCGGCGAAGGCGGCGCACUGGUCCGAUACUGACGCUGAGGCGCGACAGCGUGGGGAGCAAACAGG